rnacentral:rRNA from 1 species
UACGUAGGGUGCGAGCGUUAAUCGGAAUUAUUGGGCGUAAAGCGCACGUAGGCGGCUUGGCAAGUCGGAUGUGAAAUCCCUCGGCUCAACCAAGGAAGUGCAUCCGAAACUGCUGAGCUUGAGUACUUAAGAGGAUCGCGGAAUUCCCGGUGUAGAGGUGAAAUUCGUAGAUAUCGGGAGGAACACCAGUGGCGAAGGCGGCGAUCUGGGGAAGAUACUGACGCUGAGGUGCGAAAGCGUGGGGAGCAAACAGG